rnacentral:rRNA from 1 species
AUGAACGCUGGCGGCGCGCCUAACACAUGCAAGUCGAACGGCACCCCUCUCCGGAGGGAAGCGAGUGGCGAACGGCUGAGUAACACGUGGAGAACCUGCCCCCUCCCCCGGGAUAGCCGCCCGAAAGGACGGGUAAUACCGGAUAACCCCGGGCGCCGCAUGGCGCCCGGGCUAAAGCCCCGACGGGAGGGGAUGGCUCCGCGGCCCAUCAGGUAGACGGCGGGGUGACGGCCCACCGUGCCGACAACGGGUAGCCGGGUUGAGAGACCGACCGGCCAGAUUGGGACUGAGACACGGCCCAGACUCCUACGGGAGGCAGCAGUGGGGAAUCUUGCGCAAUGGGGGGAACCCUGACGCAGCGACGCCGCGUGCGGGACGGAGGCCUUCGGGUCGUAAACCGCUUUCAGCAGGGAAGAGUCAAGACUGUACCUGCAGAAGAAGCCCCGGCUAACUACGUGCCAGCAGCCGCGGUAAUACGUAGGGGGCGAGCGUUAUCCGGAUUCAUUGGGCGUAAAGCGCGCGUAGGCGGCCCGGCAGGCCGGGGGUCGAAGCGGGGGGCUCAACCCCCCGAAGCCCCCGGAACCUCCGCGGCUUGGGUCCGGUAGGGGAGGGUGGAACACCCGGUGUAGCGGUGAAAUGCGUAGAGAUUGGGAGGAACACCAGUGGCGAAGGCGACUAACUGGACUGUAACUGACGCUGAGGCGCGAAAGUGUGGGGAGCAAACAGGAUUAGAUACCCUGGUAGUCCACGCCGUAAACGAUGAGUGCUAAGUGUUAGGGGGUUUCCGCCCCUUAGUGCUGCAGCUAACGCAUUAAGCACUCCGCCUGGGGAGUACGACCGCAAGGUUGAAACUCAAAGGAAUUGACGGGGGCCCGCACAAGCAGCGGAGCAUGUGGCUUAAUUCGAAGCAACGCGAAGAACCUUACCAGGGCUUGACAUAUGGGUGAAGCGGGGGAGACCCCGUGGCCGAGAGGAGCCCAUACAGGUGGUGCAUGGCUGUCGUCAGCUCGUGUCGUGAGAUGUUGGGUUAAGUCCCGCAACGAGCGCAACCCCCGCCGCGUGUUGCCAUCGGGUGAUGCCGGGAACCCACGCGGGACCGCCGCCGUCAAGGCGGAGGAGGGCGGGGACGACGUCAAGUCAUCAUGCCCCUUAUGCCCUGGGCUGCACACGUGCUACAAUGGCCGGUACAGAGGGAUGCCACCCCGCGAGGGGGAGCGGAUCCCGGAAAGCCGGCCCCAGUUCGGAUUGGGGGCUGCAACCCGCCCCCAUGAAGUCGGAGUUGCUAGUAAUCGCGGAUCAGCAUGCCGCGGUGAAUGCGUUCCCGGGCCUUGUACACACCGCCCGUCACACCACCCGAGUCGUCUGCACCCGAAGUCGCCGGCCCAACCGAGAGGGGGGAGGCGCCGAAGGUGUGGAGGGUGAGGGGGGUG